ACAAAGGCUGUAUUUACAGCUACAAAUGGGUAACAGCAAACAAAUAU
rfam:Papio anubis isolate 1X1155 chromosome 2, whole genome shotgun sequence.